CCUACGGGAGGCAGCAGUGAGGAAUAUUGGUCAAUGGCCGGAAGGCUGAACCAGCCAAGCCGCGUGAAGGGCGAAGGUGCCAAGCAUUGUAAACUUCUUUUGUCAAGGGACAAAAUCAGGCGCGAGAGCCUGACCGAGGGUACGGGAAGAAAAAGCAUCGGCUAACCCCGUGCCAGCAGCCGCGGUAAUACGGAGGAUGCGAGCGUUAUCCGGAUUUAUUGGGUUUAAAGGGUGCGUAGGCGGGCUGUUAAGGCAGCGGUACCAGCCCGGGGCUCAACCCCGGCGAGCCGUUGAAACUGGCUGUCUUGCGCUGUCGCGAGGUCUGCGUAUUGCGCCUUGUAGCGGU
rnacentral:rRNA from 1 species